UACGGAAGACUAUUAUUUAUUUUCCCUUUCUCGAAACUUCAUUUCUUGAAAGUUCCGACAAAACCCUCGACACCUUUUUCAAAACUUCAUUUCUCAAGUUCAAUUUUUAUUUUUUUUUAAUCUUCUUUCUUGUGAUGGUGAUUGUGCAGUGAUGAAGGUGUUCUCUGCAUCUUAUCAACUUUUGCGUCCUCAAAUUCUAGUGUCCUCCAUUGAAGCAACUUAUGAGGUUUUUUCUUUUUCUCUUUUUUUUUCCUUUUUUUUAAUAAUUAUUGUAUUUCUAUUUAACUAUUUAAUGGUAAUCAGUAUCCUUAAUUUAACAAUCAAGAUAGCCAAUUUAGGGUUUAAUUUCAUUUAUUUGACAACCUUAGCUAAUUUGGAGUUUGUCAUUGAUGUAAUUAUCAAACAUAGUCAAUUUAGGCAUUUUAUGAGUUCAUCUAAAUGUUGUAUAUCCAUUCAAGCAACUUGGUGCUAAUUCUUUUUCCUUUACUUAAAGGUUUUAUUUAUAUAAAUGAAUAAUUGUUUCAGAUCUGGUUGUGUUUUUUAAUUUUUUUUGUUGGAAUUGUAGUAUUGUUGAAUUAAGGGUUUUCAUGGGUUUUAAUUAGGGGUUUUAAUUUUAUUUUAAUGGUUGUUAUUAUUGGGAUGUUAGUUCAUUAAUUGAGGUAGCAAUUUAGUUAUUAUCUCUACUUGCAAUAUGAAAGAAGACUUCAAGAUGUGUAUAUGCAUCAUCGGAAUGAAUAUAGGGAUAGAAAUAAAAUGAUGUAGAGUUUUUGCUUGAAUAUUUUAUACAUCUUAAUGAAUGAAAUGGAGAUUGUUGAAAUUUGGUAUAAAUUUGUAUGAGCAUUUAUACUUCUUGAAUGAUGGUAGUAGGAUAGAAAAAAAUUGAGAUUAUUGUAUUAUAUAAUCAAAGUGAAAAUUAGGAUUCUUUAAAAAACUUGUGAUUUAUUCAUAAAUGAAAAAAAAAAAUCAAAGUGGAAAUUAUGAUACAAUUAUAAGAUUGUGAAUUACAGAUGAAAAAAAUGGUGAAAAUUUUGAUACAUGCAAUUAAAUACUUGGAUAUGUAUUAGUUUUAAUAUGAGGUCGUAGUUAAAGCAACUUGAGUUGUUGUAUGGUGGAGUAGUUGGUUGUUGAGUGUGGGUUCUUGGGCUCUUGGAUGUUCUUUAUCUUCUUGUAUUAUUCUUUUUUUACUUUGGAUUUCUAUGGUGUUCUUUAUCUGAUCUAAUGGUAUGGUUCCAUAUACAAAUAUUAGUUUUCUAUUACAGUAGCAACCUAUGAUACUUCUAUGAUCACUCUACAAGAUUUGUUUUGCUCUGCAUCAUCAAGAAAAUGGUACUUCUCUACUUCAUUCUCUUUUACUUCUUGUUAUUCUGGUAAAUUUUUGUAAAGUUUUAUUUUUAGACUUUUUAUUGUUAUGUUUUACUUUUGUUAGUUUUGAAACUACCUUUUUUCUUUUUUCUUUUUUUUUUUUUUUUUUGUGGGUUUGCUCAAUUAAAUACCAAUUAGAUAACUUAGAUUUGACUUGGUAACUAUGGACGUACCUUGAUUAUUUUUAGUUACAUUGCAAUGGUUUUUAGGGGUUGGUUUGCUUGUUUAUGUAGUAGUCAUGGGAAGAGUAAGAUAAUCUGAUAUAUUGUUCCUACUUGCCUUGUCACAAAAUAAAGAAACCAAAACCAUCAUUCAAGAAACUAGUAUUUUUUUAGCAUAUCAUUUUUGCAAUUUGAUUAUAAUAUCUAGAUUAAAUGCAUUCAACUUAAAUGCAUUAGAUGGAUGUAGUAGACUAGUGGGUAUGUCAGGUUUGUGCAGCUAUAUACCAAGUAUUGGCUAGGUGUCAUUAGUGGCUUUAUUUGCAUUGAUAUUUCAAGCAGCAAUACAAGAUGAUUUUAGUGCACUUAUUGAUCAAGUUGUUUAUUUGAAUUCUUGUACAGACCCAUUGAGAAGCUUAGUAUACUCCCAUUACGAAGAAACACAUGGGCAUGGUACAUGAUGAACCACAAUGAGUAGAGCAGCGAAAUUGACAAGAUUGUUGUGACACUCUUGAUUGAGGAUUGUCACCCUCGUACUUCUUAGUUUUAAGUUACUUUUUUUUUAACGGUAGUUUUAAAUUACUUAAUGAGCUUCUUUAGAUAGAUAUAUUAGGAGAAUAUAUGAUGCAUUGUAAAGAAAUGUAUUUUGGCUUAGGAAUUAUUUCAAUGCAGCAUUAAUUGCAUAUUAUAAUUAAAUUAAA